CAGUCGAGGGGCAGCGGGGGUGAUGGCUUGCCAUCGCCUGCCGGCGACCGGCGCACGGGUGAGUAACACGUAUGCAACCUGCCCGCCACAGGGGGAUAAGCGGAAGAAAUUCCGUCUAAUACCGCGUGACGCGGCGCCGGGGCAUCCCGGUGCCGCCAAAGGGAUUACCGGUGGCGGAUGGGCAUGCGGCGCAUUAGCUAGUCGGCGGGGUAACGGCCCACCGAGGUGACGAUGCGUAGGGGUUCUGAGAGGAAGGUCCCCCACACUGGUACUGAGACACGGACCAGACUCCUACGGGAGGCAGCAGUGAGGAAUAUUGGUCAAUGGGCGGGAGCCUGAACCAGCCAAGUCGCGUGAGGGAUGACGGUCCUACGGAUUGUAAACCUCUUUUGCCGGGGAGCAAGCGUGCGUUCGUGAACGCACGUCGAGAGUACCCGGAGAAAAAGCAUCGGCUAACUCCGUGCCAGCAGCCGCGGUAAUACGGAGGAUGCGAGCGUUAUCCGGAUUUAUUGGGUUUAAAGGGUGCGUAGGCGGGAUGCCAAGUCAGCGGUAAAAAUGCGGUGCUCAACGCCGUCGAGCCGUUGAAACUGGCGUUCUUGAGUGGGCGAGAAGUAUGCGGAAUGCGUGGUGUAGCGGUGAAAUGCAUAGAUAUCACGCAGAACUCCGAUUGCGAAGGCAGCAUACCGGCGCCCGACUGACGCUGAAGCACGAAAGCGUGGGUAUCGAACAGGAUUAGAUACCCUGGUAGUCCACGCAGUAAACGAUGAAUACUAAUUGUGUGCUCCGAAUGAGGAGUGCGUGAUACA
rnacentral:rRNA from 1 species